AUAUAGAUAGCAUGGAAUGAGUUGCCUGAAUAAGCCAGGAAAACCAAUGACUUUAGACAGCUAGUAACUAGAUCUGUCUAAAACUAAUGCACUGUUAGUUUCUGUAUAGACAAAUUAUAAAUCUAGAAUUAAAGUCUAUCACUGUAUGAUUACUAGUAAAAUGUUUGUUGUUUGUAAAAUGUUUUACUUGUUUCGGAUGUUCCUUCAUAGUUGAAGAUAAUUUACUUCCUAGUCCAAAACUCCAGCAGGACGACGAAGAUAGGGGUGAGCAAGGUUUGAACCAGAGUUCAUCGAUAAGUCUAAACGACACUUCAGCGCGCAAAUAUAAAUGAGCCCCUUCUACCCAAUAUAAUCUUACUAGUUUAGGCAUCUGUUUCUUGCCUUCUCCUGGUCAGUGCCACCAGUCUCAAUAUCUGGACUGCACAUGAAGGUAAUUAGCACUUCAAGCGAUAACAACCUUGCAAAACCAAAUACAUGGAUGGCGGAAUGGCUUGGCUUCCGAACUGAGGAGUCUUGCGUUCAAAUCCAGGUGAAGAUGGGAAAUAUUGAAUUUUGAGAUUUUUAGGGCGCCCUUUAGUCCACCAAGACAACAUAACUCUGGCUGGCUUCAUGAAACUCUCAUUAACCUUAGGAAACAGAAACAGAUGAUCUUUACAUCAUCUGCACCAUAGACUGUAAGAUCUGAAAGAGGAUCUUUAUACUUUUUAUAUCUAUAUUUAUUUUUUUUUUCUUUCAUUAGGUAUUGAUAUGAUUGAAAACUGGCAUUUAAUUAACAAGAAGCUAAUGGCUAACCAAAACUCCUGACAAUAUGAAAAAGUUAAGUGCUACUCUAGAUAAAAAGAUGCACAGCUGUAGGAACUUAUGAACCUGCCCAUGUCGAACAGGUUGUACUGCUCUGAAGCUUGCUUUGAAGAUAACAUCUAAGAGCAUGUACAGCUAUGAAGUAAUACCGGUUAAAAGAAAUGAUUUCAAUAGAGACACAGAAAGACAUUCAACGCAAGAUACAAUACCAGAAAUUGGAAAGAAAUGAUGCAACGACAACAUCAAGGAAUAUUCAAGUCUUUUAAUAAAUGGGAUAAUGUGAGUAGCAGAAAACAGAGUGUUGGAAGGAACUGGUCAGUUUGACAGACUAAGGAGUAGCAUAAGUAAAGGUAUAGUAGUAUGUUUCUUUUUAAGUUUGUUUCCAAUAAUAGAAUCCAGAAAAGUUUAAUGAUAAUAACUUGGACAUUACAAGGUUUGAAAACUUGUGUGUGUGCAUUGAAAACAAAUUGAAACAAACUGAAUUCUACUUGAGAAUGACAUCAAUAAAU